rnacentral:rRNA from 1 species
UACGAAGGGGGCUAGCGUUGCUCGGAAUCAACUGGGCGUAAAGGGUGCGUAGGCGGGUCUUUUAAGUCAGGGGUGAAAUCCUGGAGCUCAACUCCAGAACUGCCUUUGAUACUGAGGAUCUUGAGUUCGGGAGAGGUGAGUGGAACUGCGAGUGUAGAGGUGAAAUUCGUAGAUAUUCGCAAGAACACCAGUGGCGAAGGCGGCUCACUGGCCCGAUACUGACGCUGAGGCACGAAAGCGUGGGGAGCAAACAGGG